rnacentral:rRNA from 1 species
GAUGAACGCUGGCGGCGUGCCUAAUACAUGCAAGUCGAGCGAACAGACUAGGAGCUUGCUCCUCUUACUUUAGCGUCUGACGUGUUAGUAACACUUUGAUAACCUACCUAUAAUACUUGGAUAACUUCGUGAAACCGGAGCUAAUACCGGAUAAUAUAUUGAACCGCAUUGUUCAAUAGUUAAAGACGGUUUUGCUGUCACUUAUAUAUUGAUCCGCGCCGCAUUAGCUAGUUGGUAAGGUAACGGCUUACCAAGGCGACGAUGCUUAGCCGACCUGAGAGGGUGAUAGGAAACAAUGGAACUGAGACAAGGUACAGAAUAAUACGGGAGGAAGCAGUAGGGAAUCAUCCGAAAUGGGCGAAAGGCAGAAGGAGAAACGAAGCGUGAGUGAUGAAGGUAGUCGGAUCGUAAAAAUCUGUUAUGAGGGAAGAAAAAAUGUGUAAGUAACUAUGAACGGAGAGACGGAAAAUAAACAGAAAGAAACGGCUAAAUACG